UGGACAAUAUCUGAGAUCUGACGCGGGAAUACAAACACUGUUAAUUUAUGCGAUUAACUACAUCUGUGUCCAGGCACAUGGCCAAGGCGUCACGGUCCAAAACACAGCAGAAUCCAAAGGCAGCACUCAGGAGCAAACAGUUCAAGUAAAAGAGUCUUUGCUCGUCGAGUUUACAGGCAGGCAAACAAGGUCCAAAGGGGCUAGGCAGAGGCGGAAUACAAAUAGUACAGGCUUGGUUAAAAAGACAGGAUCAGGAGCAGGAAAACAUUGGAGGCUGUAAAGUUAAGGCGUGAACAAAGAGUAGGACGUUAAAUGAGGGGGAAUGACAAACAGGUGUGUGAUGAAGGUGAGCAGGUGAGAUCAUUCAGUAAUCAGGAGAGCUUCAGGAGGGAGGGGCUAAGUCUGAGGGCAACACAAGGUGCACCUGAGUGAGUCACCAUUUACUCCUCAUACAUUUAUCUUUUAAUAAUUUAAAUAAUAUGCCAUUACCAAAGAGUUUGCAGAACACAUUUAGCUCAUGUAGAAACCUAAGACUAAACUAUCACGUCAAGCCUUGUCUUCUCAAAAACAAGUGAGAGUUGGAAUACUAAGGGACUGGACGUUAUCAACAACAGGUGGACAGGGACUGAAAUCUUCUGUGGUCUCAGUGUGUGUGUGACAGUGCUGUUGCCGUACAUUGCCAAAUUAAGCGAGACCUGAGGAGAGAGUGUUUUUCUGAGACACAACAGGAGAAGAUCCACAGAUCUGAGAUCAUUACUGCUCUCAGCAAGUGCUGGGGAAUGAAUUUGAGCUGAGGAUACACCAGAGAAUCAUCACACUGAUUUGCCAUCCUGGUCGUCAGAGGGGAAAUCUUCAACAGAGGCUUGACUCCCUCUAUCAUCCCGGCUGCGACUUGACACCGCUUCCAGGAACCUCUUAGAAAAACAACUGCAUAUUCACCAGUCAGGAUUUAGUUGACUUUUCCACAGUGGCUUUGCAUAAAUCAACUUUGGAAGUGAUCCCCGAAGGUUCAUCACGGGAGCCGUGCGGCGAUAAAAACCCAACAAUCAGUUAUUAUUUUUCACAAUGGUGGGAGCAAAUUGCAGCAGCGGCGCGCUGUGCCUGAAAAGUGGGUGAGAUUUUAGCUGCUUAACCGUGGGUCAUCUCCUGUAAGUAGUGAGGCCUUUGGAUUAGCUACUCCUACACUGCUGUAAUGUGGGACUGCUACAUGUGGGAGUACACAUGACUAGGUGAUGGCGCACAUGCACACACACUGUAGGCCUCUUUGUAUACACAGCGCUGUUGAUCAAUAUGUGUGAUGCAGAUUCAAGUGAAGAGAUACUUGGCUUGCUGACACCUACACAAAAACCAAUGCUCACAUAGGCGUGACAUCCUCCUCCGCUUGACAUCACUUAUUUAACAGUUACUGUAUAUCAACACAAGCGGCUCUGAUGGGACUGAUCUACAGCGUGGAGUGUUUGUAUGGGUUUACAGUUAAUGUCAGGCUGAUAUUCUUGAUGGUAUUUUAUUUAUAUGAUUGGGUAUAUAUGUAGGACAAUUCAAACAUACUUACAAACAACAGUUUAACCACCAGAGGUUAAUUAAUCUGCAGGUAACCACAGCAACAAUACUCGUUACGCUUUACACCUUGAUGAAAGGUGAAAGUAACCGAUGGUUACCUGAAAACAGUGGAAGUAAACAGGAUUUCUUACAUGUUGCUCAAAGGCUGUAGCUGCCAUUCAAGAUAGAGAAGUUGUGUCCUUAUUUAGGGGCACUGUGAUUUAGACUAAUUCUCUCAGUAUUUAGAAAAUCUUUCUACAGACCGGGCUCAAUCCAAAGCAGCAAUAUUUCUUUCCAAAAAACAAAACAAUGAUGCACAGAUUACUGUGAAUAAUCCGAAAAUCUUUCAAGCGGAUUCCUUUUAUCCAUCUUUUUUAGGGAUUCAUAAAAAGAAUUGUGGUGGUUUUGCAAGUUUAUGAUGUAGCACUGCCACGCUUCAGUGGCAAGAAUAACAUGCAGGUAAGUAUGUUUAUAUAAGUGAGUUAAUGAUGAACCAUCAUUGUCAUCAUGCAUGAAUCAUACAAUAAUAAUAAUAGGCUAAUUUUAUACUUGAUCGAUGAUGACGAAGAUACUGAAAAACGGCGAUGCUUGGCAGAAUAGUACAUUUUAGAGAGACUCUUGAAUUUCACAAAUCAUGUUUGCAGGGGAGUUCAUGUGUUAUUAACAGUGAAGCACCCCCUUGUUGUGGAGAGUUGUAGUCAUCAAUGGCCAGCUCAGGCAGUGGUGAGAAAGUGCACAGAAGUCCAAGAUGUCUUAUGCUGAAAGGUUUGUUGAAGCUUGGCCAAGGAGAACGGAAGAUUUAUCAACAUACUUGUCAGGACAUGAUGCCGCUUCACUUCUAAAGAAGCUGUCCUCUCUGACUCAUCUAUACGCCCUGAGCAUAAUGAUACAAACACUUUAUGUCCAUGAAUUAUCACACUUAAUGCAUUGGUCUGACAUUGCUAUCUGACUCUGUAGGAACUUCUACGUUAUGCAACUGUUGUGUCGAGAGAGUCAGACGGCCCUAAUCCUCUGACCUCGGUUACCAUAGUAAUGAUCAGAAUGUCGCCUGCUUCCCUAAAGACAAACAUACAGCUGGUCUGCAUCUCCAGGAGAGAAGUCACAACCUAGCACUGUCUCUGCAAUGAACUCAAGACAUAUGACGGAUCAUAUGUGACGUGCUAGAAUAGAAAAUUAUAGUUCGCACUCUGAACUCCCCUUGUUGCCUGCGCUGGUUUUCUCAUCCAAGGGCACGCAGGUUAGGGUAACUGCCGUGAAUAUGAUCAACAUGAAGGUCUUAAUUCAAAAUGAGGGAUAAUAAUUAUUUAUUAAUAUUUAUUUUGCUGGCAAGUUUUGGUAAUAUUUGAAUUUCAGCUAAUUAAAUACCCAAACAGAUUGAAGAAUGUGCUUCUUUAAAGAGGUCAAAACGCCAGCAACACUUAAAAAUGUGUUGUUUGAAUUCUUCAUUUUCAUUGCAGGUUAGGUUUCUGUUUAGUGUUGAUGCUUUUUUUGCCUGUGACUCUAUGUUGCCAUUGGAAUCUAUUGUAAUUUCUAUAAAAAACAAGCUAUACGUGCAUCUAAAACUGCGGCUGUCAUGCUCUAUAUGUGCCACAAAUGUUCAAAUGUGUUGGAUUUGCCGUCACACCCCAAUCGGUGAUUUCGCAGCAGGUGUUUUGGCCUUGGCAGCUGUUUAGAAAUGCCUGUUACGGCAUUGCUGAUUGGGGUGGGGCAGCAUGUCUGAGAGUUUCAGCUCACAGGGAGCAGAGCAGCAGCCCCUUUUGUGGUUUAGUCCUGAUUUACCCAUCAAGAGCAUUUUAACAUUGCCAAAGGAAUUUCAUUAGCCUGGCUGUCAGCGGAGACUUCAGGCCAUGGUUUAAAGGCUUUUCACUGCUGACAAGGAGAACAUUGUGGGGGAAACGGUGAAUUCUUGAAACUUUUGACAUGAAAAUGGUGCCAUUCAAAGAUAGUUUAGCUGCAUAACAUAUAUAAUACAAAGAGACACUGGUUCAAAUAUGUAGUUUGAGGCUUGUUUAGGUUUCAUUCUGCAUUUAAAUUCAGUACAUGGACAACAAGCAUUCCCUUUAAUUAUGAAACACACUGAAGAAAGCAGCGACCGAACUUCCUUUGCUGUUUGUUUGUCUCUGCAUUGUAGAGGGAACUGAAAACAAAUGAUUGUCUAGCCAUUACCUUCGUCAUAUGAAUACCUGCAGUCAUUUCAAACAUCAGCAGUCAUAUUCGACAGUGAUUACUGGCUAUUUUGAACUUGCUUGGGGAAAGUUUUAUUCUCCUGUGAAGCAGAAAAUACUUUUCGAAAGUAUAAAUUUGUGUUGUUUGUCCAAAUAAGUUUUCUAGUGUGGUGUCUUCUUUGUGUCGUUCAGGUGUGUUAAACCAUAAACCAUCCAGAAAAUCUGCCGAAAAAAGAAAAUGCAAAUGAAUGAGCGUUUCCAUCCAUCCACCCGCAUUAUGCGAUUAUUGAACAGCUGGUGGUGCUAAUUCCAGUUGG